rnacentral:rRNA from 1 species
GACGAACGCUGGCGGCGUGCUUAACACAUGCAAGUCGAACGGAAAGGCCCUGCUUUUGUGGGGUGCUCGAGUUGCGACCUGGUGAGUAACACGUAAGUAACCUGCCCUUGACUUUGGGAUGACUUCAGGAAACUUGAUCUAAUACCGGAUAGGAUCUCCUGCUUCAUGGUGGGGGUGGGAAAGUUUCGCCGGUUGGUGAUGGACUCGCGGCUUAUUAGCUUGUUGGGGGGGUAGUGGCUUACCAAGGCUUUGACCCGUAGCCGGCCUGAGAGGGUCACCGGACAAGUUGGGCUUGAAAUGCGGCACAGACUCCUACGGGACGGAGCGGUGCGGAAUAGUGUAUAAUGGGAGGAAGCCUGAUGUAGUAACGCCGCGCGGGGGAUGUGGGGAAUGGGGUAGGAAAGCGAUUCCGUUUGUGCCGAAGCGAGAAUGACAGUAACGGGUAAAGAAGCACCGGCUAACUACGUG